rnacentral:rRNA from 1 species
AUGCCACCGCGGCCGUCCCUCCAGUCGCUGCUCCUCAUGGCGGCCUCCACCUCCGCGGGCGCCGGGGGCUCGGGCCUCCUCGCCGCCGCGCGCCGCCGCUUCCCCGCCGCCUUCGCCGCCCCGGGGGGGCAGCGCAUCCGCCUGCUCCACUCCUUCUCCUCCCGGACCCGCCUCCCCCGGCGGGCCGAGCUCGCCUGCUGCUUUGGGACCGCCCCCGCCGAGGCCGUGCCCGCCGCCCCCGCCGCCCCGCGCUCCAGGAAUGUUCUUUCGAUGGAGUACAUAAGGGCUUGUGAAGAACGGAUAGGGCAGGUGGUUGAGAAGAUGAAAAAGGAGGGAAUAGAUAUGAGCCGAAGGAGGAUUGGCGCUUUUCAACGCAAGAUUUGCCCAAAGUGUGAAGGGGGUCCAACUAAGGAUCGAAGCCUCAGCGUCUUCAUCCGGGAAAAUGGUACACAUGGAAACUGGACUUGUUUUAGAGCGAGUUGUGGAUGGAAAGGCUCUACCCAGCCUGAUGGAGUUUUGAAGGCGUACCAAGCAAAUAAAGACGCAGGAAAUGAAAAUGAAAGUGACGAGGAAGUCAAAGCAAAUCAGCCAGUCAAGGUUGUCAGAAAACCUCGUGAAGAGGACCUGUGUCUCGAGCCUCUUUGUGAUGAGGUGGUUGAGAAGAUGAAAAAGGAAGGAAUAGAUAUGAGCCAAGUGAGGAUUGGCGCUUUUCAACGGAUGAUUUGCCCAAAGUGCAAAGGGGGUCCAAAUAAGGAACGAAGCCUCAGCGUAUUCAUCCGGGAAAAUGGUACACGUGGAAACUGGACUUGUUUUAGAGCGAGUUGUGGAUGGAAAGGCUAUACCCAGCCUGAUGGAGUUUCGAAGGCAUACCAAGCAAAUAAGGACGCAGGCAAUGAAAAUGGAAGUGACCAGGAAGUCAAAGCAAAUCAGCCAGUCAAGGUUGUCAGAAAACUUCGUGAAGAGGACCUGAGUCUCGGGCCUCUUUGUGAUGAGCUCGUGACAUACUUCUCGGAAAGAAUGAUAUCAGCAAAAACACUUCGAAGGAACAAUGUAUCACAACGUAAAAGGAAUGACAAGAUUGUAAUUGCUUUCACCUAUAGACGUGAUGAAGUCCUUGUUGGCUGCAAAUACAUGGAAGUCUCUAAGAGAUUUUCACAGGAGGUGAACACCGAGAAAAUUUUCUAUGGUCUGGACGAUAUAAAGCAAGCACGCGAUAUUAUCAUUGUUGAGGGUGAAAUUGAUAAACUUUCCAUGGAGGAGGCUGGCUAUCGUAAUUGUGUGAGUGUGCCACAUGGUGCACCAGCUAAAGUAUCAAAGAAACUCCCGGACAAAGAUCAUGAUAAGAAGUAUUUAUAUCUGUGGAACUGCAAAGAGUAUCUUGACCCGGCAUCUAGGAUAAUACUGGCAACGGAUGCUGAUCCUCCAGGGCAGGCUCUUGCUGAGGAACUUGCUAGACGUCUUGGUAAAGAAAGGUGUUGGAGGGUCAAAUGGCCAAAGAAGAGUGAGACAGAAUUUUACAAAGAUGCUAACGAGGUACUUGUGUCCUUAGGACCACAAGCAUUGAAAGAGGUUAUACAAGGUGCAGAACUGUUUGGGAUUUAG